rnacentral:rRNA from 1 species
UACGUAGGGAGCAAGCGUUGUCCGGAAUCAUUGGGCGUAAAGGGCGCGUAGGUGGCCCCUCAAGCGUGCGGUGAAAGUCAGGGGCUCAACCCCUGAUCGGCCGUGCGAACUGGGGAGCUUGAGCACUGUAGAGGCAGGCGGAAUUCCGGGUGUAGCGGUGGAAUGCGUAGAGAUCCGGAAGAACACCGGUGGCGAAGGCGGCCUGCUGGGCAGUUUUGCUGACACUGAGGCGCGACAGCGUGGGGAGCAAACAGG